rnacentral:lncRNA from 1 species
AAAAGAUAUAAAAGGGUAUAUGCAGUGGCACUAAGUGUAUUUCAUGCAGGCACAUUGCAUAUGGCUGGACAGGUAAUAUACUGCACAAUUCCAGGGAGCCCCAGACCCAUAGUCCAGAAUUUUUACACUCUUGUUUUUUUUCAAGAUAACUCCUUUUUUCUUAUUGUAUAAAUAAUACAUAUUCUUGGGGGAAAGGUGGAAAGUAGUGAAAAGUUCAAAGUACAUAAAAAUAAUCUGUAGGCCGGGCAAGGUGGCUCACGCCUGUAAUCCCAGCACUUUGGGAAGCUGAGGUGGGCAGAUCACCUGAGGUCAGGAGUUCGAGACCAACCUCAACAUGGAGAAACCCCGUCUCUACUAAAAAUACAAAAUUAGCCAGGCGUGGGGGUGCAUGCUUGUAAUCCCAGCUACUCGGGAGGCUAAGGCAGGAGAAUUGCUUGAACCUGGGAGGUGGAGGUUGCGGUGAGCCAAGACCGCACCAUUACACCCCAGCCUGGGCAACAAGAGUGAAACUCCAUCUCAAAAAAUAAUAAUAAUAAUAAUAAUAAUAAUCUAUAAUCACACUCAACUGGCAAUAGCAUCUGCCUACAUAUGGAUCUGGUUCCUUUCAGUUCUUUUAGAAACAUAUAUUUGCUAAGAGUAUUAAAUAAAACAAUUUCAUUGGUUAAUAUCUGCUAGAGUCUUCAGCUCCCUCCCAAAGCCCAACUAUAACCAGGACCUACAGAAAGCAUUGUUUUAUGCAAAUAAAACAUAUUCAGGCUGUGUGCAGUCGCUCAUGCCUAUAAUCCCAGCACUUUGGGAGACCGAGGCAGGCAGAUCACUUGAGUUCAGGAGUCUGAGACUAGCCUGGGCAACAUGGAGAAAACUGUCUCUACAAAAAGUACAAAAAUCAGCUGGGUGUAGUGGUGUGCACUUGAAGUCCCAGCUACUCGGGAGGCUGAGGCAGAAGAAUCACUUUGAUCUGGGAGGUGGAGGUUGCAGUGAGCCAAGAUCACGCCAUGCACUGCAGCCUGGGUGACAGAGCAAGGCAAUGUCUUAAAAAAAAAAAAAUUCUGGAGUGUUGGGGGGAAGGGAGAUGAAGGUAGAGCUUAGAUAUGAUCAGCAAACUUCAGGCCUCAAGACUUUCUGGCAACUUGUAGAUAAAAUUAUCCCCUUACCCUUCUGCCGUUUUAAAAAGGAGUGGGUACCAAAUGCCACAGGCUCAUGAAGAGAUUUUCAUUUCUUUACAUUGAGAUUUAAAAAAAAAAGCACAAUGCAAUAUUUUUCAAAGAGUCAAAUUCAUUCAUUCUUAUAAAAAGGGUUCCCUUCAAUAAUAUCCUACUUUUUUGAUGUUAAAAUAGGCUUUUCUUUUAGAAACAAUGAAAGUUUCAAAACAAUUUUCUCAACAAUCGCACACACACAAAAGUUGGCAACCCUCUAUCACUGCCCUAAAUUAUUUUUGUAAUUUUAAUGACUUGUGAAAUCUGAAAGUCUCAGAAUCAUUGAACUCCAUAUGAACCUCUUACUGGAUGAAGACCUCCACAGGGAAAGCUCUGUUAUUUAUUAAUUUGCCUGGCUCACCCAAGGCCCUAAAUAUACGUUCGUCAAACCACUGGACGAGGAGCUGGUGGGAGUGGGGCUUUGGAAGAGGGUGGUUGGGCUAAAGCGCCCUGGUACACUGGAACUGGAAAAGACAUUCACAUUUGCUACAUGAGCAUGAUUGCCUAAUCCCAGAUGAAAUGAAGACUCUUAGAGAUGAAAUUGCCUGAAACUACAUGGCUGGCAAAGUGCAGACUUUAGAUUACAACCCAGGGUAGUUGGACACUGGAGAUGUGACGUCUCCCACCAUGCCACGGCCAGAUCACAGACCACUAGUUAAGGACCCCUGAUCUGGGUCAGUGAAGAGCAGAAGGCCCUGAAAUCUGGCAAGACCCGUUUCCUGCGAAGCCACUAGAUCGUUUCAACUAAGUAUAUUUCAUUUCCUUCCUGGUCUGUCAGCAGAGAGAGAGGUGAAGCAGGAAGCUGAGCUGUUGGCACCUCCAGCUUAGCCCUCUGUGCUAAUGAGUUAAUUCUAAUUAGCAGCAGCAGGAACAGUUUAAUGGUGUUCCGAUCCUGACUGCACCAUCAUCAAAAAAAAAUUGAUUUUUGCAGGUGUAUGCAUUUUAAUGAAUGGGAAAAACAAGCAUUGUCCUCAAAGCUAAGAAAGGGAUAUUUCUCACUGAGUCGAAAGAGCUUACACCAGCUGUGCUGCGGGCGGGCAAGAAAGGUUAAUGGUUUCCAAGGGCUCUCAGUGUCCUUUGGUUCCCGAUUCUAAGAUCUAUGUGUACAUAGACGGUACCUUCAGAUAUCUUCAGAAAAAUCUCUCUGCUUCUUUGUAUCAGCUCCUUCUGUGUUGCCCACUGUGUUCUUCCUGGGUAAGUCCUCCCCGAACUUCAGAAUUUCAUCCAUUCAUUCAUUCACUCAUUCAUUCACUCAUUCAGUAGAAAUAUUUACACCUACUUUGUGUACAGUACAUAUGCUACAUGCUAUAGUUAUUGAUUGAUUGAUUGAGACGAAGUCUCGCCCUGUCACCCAGGCUGUAGUACAGUGGCACGAUCUCGGCUUACUGCAACCUCCGCCUCCCAGGUUCAAGCAAUUCUCCUGCCUCAGCCUCCUGAGUAGCUGAGAUUACAGGCACGUGCCACCACACCCAGCUAAUUUUUGUAUUUUUAGUAGAGAUGGGGUUUCACCAUGUUGGCCAGGCUGAUCUCUAAAUACUGACCUCAGGUGAUCCACCCACCUUGGCCUCCCAAAGUGCUGGGAUUACAGGCGCGAGCCACUGCCCCCGGCCCUAUCGGCGAUCUAAAGAUGAAUUCCCGUCUCAUGGAGGUUGGUAAGGGGGGCAAAUACACAAAUACAUGAAAAGUAACAAGUUAUGAGCCAAAGGUUGGACAGGACAAGGAAUGUGUGCUGAAUAUGGAAAUUUCACCUUGUGGAUUCUCAACUAGAACGCUGCAUUAUGAGGUCGGAGAGAACUCUGUAGAAUUCUCUCCCAGAGGGUUAUCUAUGUUCAGUCACCAUUUAUUCUUUUUAAAUUGUCUGAAGUUCUCAAAGAGGUGGGAGGGAAAGGAGGAUCAGUGGUCACAUCAUUGCUUAUCCCUGGGGUUCCAGGAAGGAUGUUACCGACAAGAAGGUAAUAAUACCUGGAAGAGGACUUAGAAAAUGUGACAGAAGUAGAGGCUAGCAUACUGGCUGACCAAAGAUAUUUUCUUGAUAUUUCUGCCCAGCAGGAUAUAUUGGCUCUGGAGUUAUUUUUUGUCUGUCUUCAAAUGAGAUUUUAAAAAGUUAUUCAUAAAAAUUGUCAACAUACAAGAAUAGUAUAAUAAACAUGCAUAUUUCCAACAGGAAGAUUCAACAGUUGCUAAUAUUUUGCCACAUUUGCUUUGUCUACCUGUGUGUUCCCAAAAUAUCUCUUAAAGAUGUUUUCCCUCUGAAACUAGCAUCCAAUUAAAACUCAUGCAUUGGUUCAUUGGUUGCCACAUCUCUUUAGUCUCUUUUAAUAUAGGAGAGUUUUUUGUUUUUUUGUUUUUUGUUUUUUUAAGACAGUCUUGCUCUGUCAUCCAGGCUGGAGUGCAGUGGUGUGAUCUCAGCUGACUGCAACCUCCGCCUCCCGGGUUCAAGCGAUUCUCCUGCCUCAGCCUCCCAAGUAGCUGGGAUUACAGGCAUCUGCCACCACGCCCAGCUAAUUUUUGUGUUUUUAGUAGACACAGGGUUUCAGCAUCUUGGCCCAGCUGGUCUUGAACUCCUGACUUCGUGAUCCACCCGUCUUGGCCUCCCAAAAUUCUGGUAUUACAGGCGUGAGCCGCCGCACCUGGCCAACAGUUCUUUGUAAAAAAAAAAAGACUCUUUGAAGAGACCAUGCUUCAAUUGUCUUACACAUUAUGGAAUGUCCCUUAUUCUGGAUUUGUCUGUUGGUUUCCUCUGAUGUCUUAAAACUUGCCCUACUAUCCUUCUGUGUUUCCUAGAAACUGUAAACUUAGUCAUAAAGAUGAUCCUGAGUGCACAGUCUUUCUUGAGACUUUCAGCCAGUAAUGAAAGACAGACAAGUGUUAGCAAAGGUGUGGAGAAAUGGGAACCCUCAUAUAUUGCUGGUGGGAAUGCAAAAUGGUGCAGCCGCUCUGGAAAAAUAGUGUGUCUAUUUCUUUAAAAGUUACAGAUAAAUUUAUCAUACAACUCAGAAAUUCCACUCGUAUCUACCCAGGAGACAUAAAGACAUAUGUCCACACAAAGACCUGCCCAUGAAUGUUCGUAGCAGCAUCGCUUUUAAUGGGCAAAAAGUGGUAACAAGUCAAAUGUCUAUCAACUGAUGUAUGAAUAAACAAAAUAUAGUAUAUCCACAGAACAUUGUUCAGCAAUCAAAAUUAAUGAACUAUUGUGAUUCCUCAAAAUAUUAAAAAUAGAACUACCAUGUGAUCAAGCAAUCUCACUUCUGGGUGUAUAUCCAAAACAAUUGAAAGCAGUGUCUCAAAGAGAUAUUUGCACACCCAUGUUCAUAACAGUAUCAUUCAAAAUAGCCAAGAGAUAGAAGCAACCCAGAUAUUCAUUGAUGCAUGAAUGGAUAACCAAAAUGUAGUAUAUACAUGCAGUGGAAUAUUUUUAGCAUUAAAAAGGAAGGAAAUUCUGUAAAUUCUGUAAAUGCUACAACAUGGAUGAAACUUGAAGAUGUUAAAUGAAAUAAGCCAGUCACAAAACGACAAUCAUUAUAUGAUUCCUCUUAUAUGCGGUAUCUAAAGUAGUGCUUUAUGCCCUUUUUAGUCUGAGUCUGGCUAUGGUUCUGCUGGUCACCUCUGGGGGUUUCAAGAGCCCGUUCCACAUCUGCAUUAGUGGUUGUGGCCUCUGGAGUCCUUUCCUAAACUGUUGCAAGCUGAACUGAUCUUAGGACUCAUGAGUUGAUCAGUUCAGCUUGCAACAAUUUAGGAAACUUCACUGGAUGCAUGGUUAGCUACAGUGACAGCCUGACUCAAAUGAGCGCUUUUUGUCACAGGUUUAAUGUAGCCGAAAGCCCAUGUGCCAUAUUGAAAACUCCUCACAACCGCAUCCUAGCUAAACUUCACUUCCAUCAUCAUAAUAACCCAGACACAAGGAUAAGCAAGAAGGCAUUAUUUAGAGGAGAAGUGGGGAUGUGAUCUUCAUCCCCAAUUCAGACAUGUGUGUUCUUUCAUGUUUCAUUUGGUUAUGUUUUCUUCCUGUGGGUGCAUGUGAUUUGUCACACACCUGCCUCUAUGAGCACUGGAAAUGUCUGUGAGGAGACCUGGUAGCUCCUGACACCUUGACAUCAGAAAUAAUUAGGAGUUGUUCCAGAGCAUUGCAUCAGAUGAUAAGCUAAAUAUUGGAAAUACAAAGCCUCUAGCCCUGAUAGGGUAAAGGUAACAGAGCCCAGCUCUAACUCUCCAGCUAUGCCUUUGAUUAUGAGGAAGGUAUAUGAAUAUUUAUAAGACUUUAAAAAAGAAUUUGGAUUAUCAUCAGAUGGCUUCAAACACAUGUAAUGUUAAAAUGUUCUAAGAAGAAGACUAAGGGAAGACAAACACUGGCCAAGGCAGGCUUUAUUUAGUCCAUUUCUCUGACCCAUUAAAUUUAUACUGAGUUGCCUCAGUAUAAAUUUCCUAUUUCUGUUAUUUACUCAUGUAAUCUAGGGUCAGUCAUACAACCAGGGAAAGUAUGAAAAUAUAUUCUAAUAUGCGGCAGGUUCUGACCCAUCAGAGGGAUGGUCCCCAAGAUUCCUGCUGUGCUAGGCAUUAAUUCUUCAGUUGGUGAAUUGUAGUGAGGUCUAGGAUGUCCUGGGAGAAGGUCUAGGACAGCCAGGGGCAAAGAGAGGCUUUGGGACAAAAGCUUGAAUAACUAUUAGCAGAAUAACUCAGAAGAUUUGGGGCAACAGUUAUUUAUCACCUGGUUUGGAUUUUUUUUUUUUUUUUUUAACAAUUGGUAUGGCUACACUAGUGCAUAAUGGCCACGUAUAACCUUUCCAUGGUUCUGUUCCUAAUCUGCAGAAUGGGGAUAAUAUCCAGGCUGCCUGCCUUGUAGAGUUGUUGAACCUUAUAUAUAGAUAUUCUCUGAGCACAGUAAAGCCUGUAAAACAGAAAUACAGAGUAAGAGUUUUUGAGAGUAAUUCCUUCCUGCUGGGGGGUGGGAAGCUUUCCCAGCUGGUGAAGGUUCUCUGGGGCUGAGGUUGUUAGAGGGCCAACUCCAAUCUGAGAUUACACAAUAUUCAAAUAAAACUAAGGACUAAAAAUAGACAGUGGGAUUGGCUCUCUAGGAGAGCACUUCAGACAGCUCCUGGGGCCAGAGUAUGGAAGACCAGGACUGAGGCUCCAGGAAGAGGAAAGAAUGACCCCUUCCAUCGCUGGGGCUGUCUCUGAUGUCUGGAUCCUUUACCUGCUCCCUGUAGGGUGAUUUGGUGUGCGUGAAUGAGGGAUGGAGGGGAGAAGAAACCCAUGUUUCAACUCUGAUCCCAUCAGGAGGUAACUGUUUUCUGUCAAAGGGAGUAUAAUUAAAAGAGUCUGACUUGUAACCGGAACUCAUUAAAUAUUUGAUAAUUAACUCUGUAGUAGUACUAGCAGGACACAGGAGAACACAGGACAGGACACAGCACUCAGAGACAGGGAGAAAGCAACUAACUAUUAAAAUGGAAGAUAAUCCAUUGAUGGGAACAGGUAAUUAGUGGCAGGCAUGUUUCAGAGCAUGUUGAAACAAUGCAAUGUCUUUAUAUCUCUCGAUUCAUUUAUUUAAUACAAAAAUUCAUGGCAUCUUAUGGUAGAUGAGGAUGUAUUUAUCUUACAUGAUGCUGCCAUCACCCUGUCCUUCUCAUAUACUUGUCUUAGUCCGUUUUGUGCUGCUAAAUCCUGGCUCAGUCACUUACUAGCUGCGUCUCUGGACAAGUAACCUAUGUGUCAAGGGUUGUCAGACUUAGCAAAUAAAAAUACAGGAUGCCUAAUUACAUCAGAAUUUCUAAUUGUCCAUGCAUAUAUGCACUCAGAUAAUAAGAAAAUAUUGUACAGAACAUACUUUAACAAUUACUUGUUUAUUUGAAAUAAAAUAUCAGUAUCUAAAUUACAUACCUCUUUAAUUGUAUUUCUCCAAUGAUUUGGCUCUCAUUAAUGGUUCUUUGUUUCGUAGAAUGUGCUUAUAAAAUUCCUUACAGUUACAGUCUAAGUUCCAUUUACAUUGCAACACAGCUUCUACAGUUAUCAUAUGCAACUCACUUUAUUCUUUUGUCCACUGAACCUUCAUUAAUGAGAAAACAUACGCAACAUUAGCAUGAUGAGCCGGUAUACUGGGCAUGUACUGGCAUAAAGUUAACAACCCAGAGAGCUUCUCUUCAAAUAUGAUUUGUUGAAGUAUAUAAUACCAUCUUUCAUGGUAUUGCUUUCCUACUCUUUAGGAUUACAUUGCAUCUCUUCAUCAACAACUUUUAAAUAAUCCACUGACAAAAAAGAGCAUUGAUAUCAACUUUUAUUUUCCUCUUCUUCAAUGCUACAUAUAAAAACUUCACUUGCUCACAGGCCAGAAGUGCAUGUAAAAGAAUAGAGUUCUCCAAGGGCUGAUACCAUUUCAAAAGAUAGUCAUGGCAAGUGCCAUAAUAAUUAUCCACUUUAAGUAGGAAUUUAUUUUCCCGUUCUUAAGUAAUAUUGUUUUUUUAAGAACAGCCUUGACACUUAAAGGGAUAAUUUUUGGUCAAUAUUUUCUUUAAUGUACUCAAGAAGUUCUUUUAAGCUCUGGAGUACUUCAAUAACACUGUUUUCUUCAGUUUGCAUGAUCCUAUUGCUAAAAGAGAUAUUAAAAAUUAGGAACUAGAAAUUAAUAGGCUUCUAUGGAUUGUUUAAAGAGUCAGCUGCAUUUGUUCAAGAGAGCUAACAGGGUUUUGGAUGAGAGGGAAUUGAAAAACUGUAUCAGGUCUGCAAGACCAUCCUCACCCUCAGAAAUGUACUAGAAGAUGGCUUUAACCAUUCUACGACGUAAAUGUUCUUCAGAACAUACUGUUCUAUACAAUAAAACAUACAGUGUUAUCUGUCGCCUAAAAAUAAUAAAUACUUUUUUUUUGAGACAGGGUCUUGCUCUCUUGCCCAGGCUGGAGUGCAGUGGCAUGAUCAUAGCUCACUGCAGCCUUGACCUGGUCUCAAGUGAUCCUCCUAGCUUAGCCUCCUGAGUAGCUGCAAUUGUAGGCACACACCACCAUCCCUAGCUAAUUUUUAUUUUUUUGUUUGAAUUUUUGUUUUUAACUUUUAUUUUAAGUUCAGGGGUACAUAUGCAGGUUUGUUAUAUAGGUAAACUUGUGUCAUGGGGGUUUCUUGUACAGAUUAUUUCAUCACCCAGGAUUAAGCCUAGUAUCUGUUGGUUAUUUUUUUCUGUUUUUAUAAAAUGAGAUUUCAUACUUCUAUAUUGUAACUCACAAGAGGAAAUAUUUUUCUGUUGCAUUCCAGAACACAUAUACACGCAACCCCCAAAGUUUCAUAAAACAAUACUUAUCCUGCAAUAUGUAAUGCAUUAAAAAUUUUUCUUGAAAAAAAUGCUGGUUGCAAACCGUGAAUGGUUGCGAUCCAUGGUUUGAAAAGCACAGCUCUAACACAGGUAACAUUUAUAAAGCCAUACCAUAGCCAGACACUAUACAUUCACAUUUAUUACCCUCGUUUAAUCCUUCCAUCAACUUCAUGAUUUAGAUUAUCAUCCCCGUUUUACAGAUGAGAAAACUGAGGCUUAAGGAAGUUACUGCUCAAGGUCACAUUUUGGUAGUAAGGUGUGGUAGUAAGUUGCCAAGCAGGGAUUUGAACCAAAGACUGAAGCUAGGAACCAAAUGCUUGGUCACCAGACUAUAUGGCCUUAGCUGCAGAAAUUCAGGGCAUACUCAUGUCCUUGGUAGAGCACUCGGAUCCCCCAGAAGAGUUUUGGCAAACAUUCCUGUGCAGCGCUUGUCAUCACUCCUUGGAUCCGCUUCAUUUGCUCUUCGUGUGUGCGCGUGUGCGAGGACAGAGCGGGAUCCCUGGGGGCCACUCUGCUUCGCUAUGGCCAUCAUACUGCUCAAGUCGGCAGGGAUGUUUUCUUGAGGGAGAGGGUGGGAAAAAGAGGAUUUCAGUUUGAGUGUACACUGGUCUGUGGCUUGUUUCUGCUUCACUAUGAUUCUUUAUCUUUUAUGAGGUGAUACUAAGUCAGAUAUGUAUUUAAAGGAUAUAAGAAAAAGCCACGUGGGUGUUGAAGUUCACAGAUGGGAAGCAAAGAUCAGGGCAUGUGCACGUAUCCAGGGUGCUAACAUGUACCUGGCUCUAAACUACUCACUGACCGCCGCUCCCAUCUGGAGGUCCAUUGGUUCUACUCUUUUCUCUUUCCCUUCUGGGCUGGUUCUUCACCUAAAGGGCCCUUGGUCUAGGGAUGGGUUCAAUUGAUGAGACGCACAAGGAGUGGUAGGCAGGCUAAUAAUUUGGAUCCACUUCAUACAGACUUUUCACUGAUGUCUUGGCAGUCAUUUGUUGGGGAGGCCGCAGAUGAUGAGGGAAGGAGGUCUCAGCGGCUUCUCAGCAGUGGGAGCAUAUGCCAGUCUCACAGUCAGCCCACUCGACUGCACAAUGCUGAGCUCAGCAGCACACAGGACCCAUAUCACCAGCGGGCAUCAGGGGCCACCUGGAGUGUGACCCCUGCAAGCCCCAAGUGGAUUUUCAAACUUGAGAGUUAGUCAGAAUCACCUGGAGGCUGUUAAAAUACCAACUGCUGGGCCCCACUCUCAGUUUCUGGUUCAGUAGGCCUGGAGUGGGGACUGAGAACAUGCAUUUCUUUUCUUUUCUUUUUUUUUUUUUUUUGAGACAGUCUCGCUCUGUUGCCCAGGCUGGAGUGCAGUGGUGCAACUCGGCUCACUGCAACCUCUGCCUCCCUGGUUCAAACCAUUCUUUUGCCUCGAUUUCUGUAGUAGCUGGGAUUACAGGCUCUUGCCACCAUGCCUGGCUCACCAUGUUGUCCAGGCUGGUCUUGAACCUGACCUCAAAUGAUCCACCCACCUCAGCCUCCCAAAGCGCUGGGAUUACAGAUGUGAGCUACAGCGCCCAGCCAAGAAUGUGCCUUUCUGACCAGUUCUCAGGUGAUGCCGAUGGAUGUUGAUGUUGUUGGUCUGGGGACCUCAAGAAAAGCAACCUUGAGGAGGAUUCUAGCAAAGUCUCUCCACAUUUCUUUGAUAUUUACGGGCUCCUAGAUGGGGCCCCUUCUCUCUACUGGCUGGCUCACCCUUUAAGCUGAUGUGCUGCAAGUCUUGAAAAGAGAGAAAUAAAAAAUCCAUUAGUCUGGCUGGGAAAGCCCCACCCAGCCUCGCAGAGAGGAGUUUCUGUGUGAUUCCAAACUCACACAGGUGUUUAAAAUGUUUGUUAAUUUACUUCACGUGAGGUUGCAGUGAGCUGAGAUUGUGCCACUGCACUCCAGCCUGGGUGACAGAAUGGGACUCUGUCUCAAAACAAACAAACAAACAAACACGCAAAUUUACCCCACCUGAAAGGUUUCUGCAUCCGGGGUUGGUGGAUUCUAACUACCUAAGCGGCCUAGCCACAUGACCAAAAGCUGGUAAUAUUUUGGGCUCUUUCAAGAGGGGAAGUACAGGGCUGGGCACAGUGGCUCAUACCUGUAAUCCCAGCACUCUGGGAGGCUGAGGCAGGACGAUUGCUUGAGGCCAGGCAUUUGGGACUGGCCUGGGCAACAUAGUGAGACCCUGACUAUUAAAAAAUAAAAAAAAAAAAUAGCUAGGCAUGAUGGUACAUGCCUGUAGCCCUAGACACAAGGAGGCCAAGGCACAAGGAGCACUUGAGCCCAGGAGUUCAAGGCUGCAGGGAGCUGUGAUUGUGCCACUGCACUCCAGCCUGGGAGACACAGCAAGACCUUGUCUCAAACAAAAAAGAAGUACAGUAUGAAAAGGACAGUAUAGUAUGAAAAGGAGACUUAGCACAUGCACUUCUACCCAAAUGUACUUUGUGUACAUGAUGUCACCAAGCCCAUUCAAAUAUGCAUAGAUUAUAGAUUUGCUUGCGCCUAAGCCUUUUGCAUAUUCAGUCUGGUUGCUAUGAUCACAAACCUGAAGUUGACAGAAGGAAAGAAACCUGGGGAUCAACUAAACCAACAAGGUGCAUCUUUAUUUUUCACUCCCACUCCCCAGAGCCCAGGUUCUGAAAGACUGUGGCUUCUACUCAUUCAUUUCCCAUGAAUGCACCAAUCAGCACUAUCAGAACUCCUCUGCCCAAGCCAAAAGCUGGGGCUGCCUUUGUGCAGAAAGAGGUCCUCUUUCAUUACAUCUGGAAAUACUGAGGAGAGCUCAGGGGUGCUUUUUCUUCCUGCGUGGGAACCAGCUGGGAACCAAUCAAUGGGCUGCAAAUGACGGCCACAUUCCUCUGUCACUGUGCCCUCAGCAAAAUGUUAUCAGUCUCAGUGAAAACGGAAUAGGAAAAAUGCGAGGAGCCUUGAGGUAUUCCUAUCUUCUGAGUGCAGCUGGCUUGAGAGCUGAGGAACAUUCAUUCUUUCUAGCCAAAGGCCUAUAAAAACCCAGAGGUAGAAUCCUAAGGGAUGUCUGAAGGAACCCCACUCUAUGGGAAAGGUAAACAUACUAUGCACAAGUUUAAAGGAUUCAUUUCUAUUUUUAGGACUCAGAAAUAAAAUUCAAUGCAUCUCCAUCACUACUGACUGCAUUCCUUAGAAAUGCCAGUGGGAAAACAACUAACCUGGCGCACUGUAAAGAAUGCCCUUGAAGAUGGAGUAUUAUCAACCUCUCUCCCCUAGGGGAGGGCCAGAGCUACAGUGCUGCUGUAGUCAUUGAAUACAAUCACACUUCUUUCAUAUACCUAAGUGAACCGUUUCCCUCGCAUCCGUGUGAAGAGACCACCAAACAGGCUUUGCGUGAGCAAUAAAGCUGUUUAUUUCACCUGGGUGCAGGCGGGCUGAGUCCGAAAAGAGAGUCAGCGAAGGGAGAUAGGGGUGGGGCCGUUUCAUAGGAUUUGGGUAGGUAAAGGAAAAAGGGGGGUUGUUCUCUGGCAGGCGGGAGUGGGGGUCACAAGGUGCUCAGUAGGGGAGCUUUUGAGCCAGGAUGAGCCAGGAGAAGGA